GAAUAUGAAACAAUUGGAAAUUCACAGGCGCUUCGGAAGAAUAAUCCUGAUACAAUUGUUUCUGGCGAUGGCGAUACCGUGGAUAGCAACGCAUACGAGAGCACAGUUGGUGGUCAAAGGCGACACCCUCUCAACGAUAAAACACAACAGAAUGAAAAUACAUCUGUACAAUUUUAUAAAGGUA